rnacentral:rRNA from 1 species
GAUGAACGCUGACAGAAUGCUUAACACAUGCAAGUCCACUUGAAUUUGGGUUUUUAACUUAGGUUUGGGUGGCGGACGGGUGAGUAACGCGUAAAGAACUUGCCUCACAGCUAGGGACAACAUUUGGAAACGAAUGCUAAUACCUAAUAUUAUGAUAAUAGGGCAUCCUAUAAUUAUGAAAGCUAUAAGCGCUGUGAGAGAGCUUUGCGUCCCAUUAGCUAGUUGGAGAGGUAACGGAUCACCAAGGCGAUGAUGGGUAGCCGGCCUGGGAGGGUGAUCGGCCACAAGGGGCUGGAGACACGGCCCUUACGCCUACGGGAGGCAGCAGUGGGGAAUAUUGGACAAUGGACCGAGAGUCUGAUGCAGCAAUUCUGUGUGCACGAUGAAGUUUUUCGGAAUGUAAAGUGCUUUCAGUUGGGAAGAAACAAAUGACGGUACCAACAGAAGAAGUGACGGCUAAAUACGUG